rnacentral:rRNA from 1 species
GAUGAACGCUAGCGGCAGGCCUAAUACAUGCAAGUCGAACGAUAUCACGCAGCUUGCUGGAUGAGAAAGUGGCGCGCGGGUGCGUAACGCGUAUGCAACCUACCUUUAUCAGGGGGAUAGCCCGGAGAAAUCCGGAUUAAUACCGCAUAAAAUCACAGGAUGGCAUUAUCCAAUGAUCAAACAUUUAUGGGAUAAAGAUGGGCAUGCGUGUCAUUGGCUAGUUGGCGGGGUAACGGCCCACCAAGGCGACGAUGACUAGGGGAUCUGAGAGGAUGGCCCCCCACACUGGUACUGAGAAACGGAUCAGACUCCUACGGGAGGCAGCAGUAAGGAAUAUUGGUCAAUGGGCGGAAGCCUGAACCAGCCAUGCCGCGUGCAGGAAGACUGCCCUAUGGGUUGUAAACUGCUUUUAUCCGGGAAUAAACCUACUUACGUGUAAGUAGCUGAAUGUACCGGAAGAAUAAGGAUCGGCUAACUCCGUGCCAGCCGCCGCAGUAA